rnacentral:rRNA from 1 species
UACGUAGGGUGCAAGCGUUGUCCGGAAUUAUUGGGCGUAAAGAGCUCGUAGGCGGUCUGUCGCGUCUGCUGUGAAAAUCAGGGCUCAACCCUGGACCUGCAGUGGGUACGGGCAGACUAGAGUGCGGUAGGGGAGAUCGGAAUUCCUAGUGUAGAGGUGAAAUUCGUAGAUAUUAGGAAGAACACCAGUGGCGAAGGCGGCUCACUGGUCCGGUACUGACGCUGAGGUGCGAAAGCGUGGGGAGCAAACAGG